rnacentral:ncRNA from 1 species
UCUACUUUGCCGCCGGGCAAAGUGUUGAUUAAGCGUUUUUGUUUCAUACCGAUAGGCCUUAGAAGGUAUGAAGCUAAAGCGCUUUUUAUUU